rnacentral:rRNA from 1 species
UACGUAGGUGGCAAGCGUUGUCCGGAUUUACUGGGCGUAAAGGGCGUGCAGGCGGUUCGUUAAGUGCAGGGUGAAAGCUCCCGGCUCAACUGGGAGAGGUCCUUGCAUACUGGCAGACUUGAGGGAGGCAGAGGAAAGUGGAAUUCCCGGUGUAGUGGUGAUAUGCGUAGAUAUCGGGAGGAACACCUGUGGCGAAGGCGGCUUUCUGGGCCUUACCUGACGCUGAGACGCGAAAGCGUGGAGAGCGAACCGG